rnacentral:rRNA from 1 species
UACGUAGGUGGCAAGCGUUGUCCGGAAUCAUUGGGCGUAAAGCGCGUGUAGGCGGCCCGGUAAGUCCGCUGUGAAAGUCCAGGGCUCAACCCUGGAAUGCCGGUGGAUACUGUCGGGCUCGAGUCCGGAAGAGGCGAGUGGAAUUCCUGGUGUAGCGGUGAAAUGCGCAGAUAUCAGGAGGAACACCAAUGGCGAAGGCAGCUCGCUGGGACGGUACUGACGCUGAGACGCGAAAGCGUGGGGAGCAAACAGG